AUGACGCUAGCGAUAGCUUACACCUGCAGUCGAGGGGCAGCGGGGACUUCGGUCUGCCGGCGACCGGCGCACGGGUGAGUAACACGUAUGCAACCUACCCAUAACACGUGGAUAGCUCGGAGAAAUUCGGAUUAAUACACGAUAACGCAGGGUUACCGCCUGGUAAUAUUUGCUAAAGAAUUUCGGUUAUGGAUGGGCCUGCGUAGAGAUUAGCUAGUUGGUAAGGUAACGGCUUACCAAGGGCUACGAUCCUUAGGGGAACUGAGAGGUUUAUCCCCCACACUGGUACUGAGACACGGACCAGACUCCUACGGGAGGCAGCAGUGAGGAAUAUUGGUCAAUGGACGAGAGUCUGAACCAGCCAAAUCGCGAUGAAGGACGACUGUAUUGAUGUAUUGUAAACUUCAUUUUAUAGGGGAAUAACAAUCUGGGACGUGUCCUGGCCUGUAUGUACCCUAUGAAUAAAGCAUCGGCAUAACUCCGUGCCAGCAGCCGCGGUAAUACGGAGGAUGCGAGCAGUUAUCCGGAUUAUUGGGUUUAAAGGGUGCGUACAGUGGGCUUGACUUAAGUCCAGUGGUGAAAUCCCGGGGGGCUUUAACUCCCGGAACUGCCGUUGGAAACACUUGUCACGUCUUCGCAGCAAUGACGGGGGUACGCGGAAAUACAGUCAUGUAACCGGGGAAAUGCAUAAAGAUAUUACGAAGAA
rnacentral:rRNA from 1 species